GUAAACAUUCAUAAAAUACAAAUAUCGCGGCAUAGGGUCGUUUUUAUUUAUAUUUUAAUCGAAAGUGUCCAAAUAAUUUCCAAACGUUUGCUACGUUAGUGCUUUCCUGCAUUGACUACAUUAAUAUUUGGUUUGCGUGCCAGCGACGGAGACACUACAGUCACCACGUUUAGUGCUGUAAAAGCAGUUAUACAGUAUUUCAUGCCAUUUCCUAGUACUGUGGUACUGCAAAAGACAUAAAUCGGUUAAAGGUUUUAUUUCUUGGCUCAUUUAGUUGCAGGAGGCGCUGGCGUUUAAGUGCCUGCAGGCCUCUUUGAUUCACUCCUCCGGUUUGAGGUUUCCUGACACGAUUCUGACAGGGCUCUGCUUGCCUUGGAUGGCAGAAAGGACAUGAGUUGUUAAGGAUCUUGAGGUUUCAGAGUGUUUGCCAAAGUCAAUUCUGGCCUGAGCAGCAGCUGUAUGAAGUUUCGUAAACUGGCACGUUAUACCAGUCCACCUUAGCAUGGCAGUCAGCAUCACACACAAGUUUAUGUAUAGCACCUUGAAAACUGGACCUCUUCUUCUGUAACAGUACCCAGAUCAAUACUGGUCCAGUAUGCAUGAUGUGGAACCAUAUGCACCAUUGUAAGAGCUCAUCAUUCUGAAAAGCGAGGUGUGCCCUGAUUGGCCAGCUAUCCAGCGUGCGAGGGAAAUGUUACACACCUUACUAUACUGUGAUGUCGUGUUCCGGAGCGCCGAGACAAAGACAUUAAGACCCAUUAUAAACAAGGUUUUAGACAAAAACCUUUCGUCCUAGUUGUGUCUUUUAGUCUUUUAAAGUGUAGCCACUGCAGCUACGUUUGCACUGAUGUUUGCUUACUUUUUUCAUUUCAUGCCAUGAGCACCAUGUUAUGACACACAUGAUGUAGAUUAUGAUUGAUUUGUAUUCAAAACAAUACUUUAUAAUUGUGUAUGUCGAGUUAAAACUUUUAAAACAUGUCUUGGGACUGUUGCAUUUGUCUUUGAGCACAAGAAUGCAUAUAUUCCAAAUGCAUCUAAGAAAUGUCCUAUUGGUGUCAAAUGAACCUGUCACCUGCCUAAUGAUAUAAAACAUAUAAAAACA